AUUGAACGCUGGCGGCAGGCCUAACACAUGCUAGUCGAACGGUAACAGGAAGCAGCUUGCUGCUUCGCUGACGAGUGGCGGACGGGUGAGUAAUGUCUGGGAAGCUGCCUGAUGGAGGGGGAUAACUACUGGAAACGGUAGCUAAUACCGCAUAAUGUCGCAAGACCAAAGAGGGGGACCUUCGGGCCUCUUGCCAUCGGAUGUGCCCAGAUGGGAUUAGCUUGUUGGUGGGGUAACGGCUCACCAAGGCGACGAUCCCUAGCUGGUCUGAGAGGAUGACCAGCCACACUGGGACUGAGACACGGUCCAGACUCCUACGGGAGGCAGCAGUGGGGAAUAUUGCACAAUGGGCGCAAGCCUGAUGCAGCCAUGCCGCGUGUAUGAAGAAGGCCUUCGGGUUGUAAAGUACUUUCAGCGGGGAGGAAGGGAGUAAAGUUAAUACCUUUGCUCAUUGACGUUACCCGCAGAAGAAGCACCGGCUAACUCCGUG
rnacentral:rRNA from 1 species